GACGAACGCUGGCGGCGUGCUUAACACAUGCAAGUCGUACGGUAAGGCCCUUUCGGGGGUACACGAGUGGCGAACGGGUGAGUAACACGUGAGUAACCUGCCCACAACUUUGGGAUAACGCUAGGAAACUGGUGCUAAUACUGGAUAUGUGCUCCUGCUGCAUGGUGGGGGUUGGAAAGCUCCGGCGGUUGUGGAUGGACUCGCGGCCUAUCAGCUUGUUGGUGGGGUAGUGGCCUACCAAGGCGGCGACGGGUAGCCGGCCUGAGAGGGUGACCGGCCACAUUGGGACUGAGAGAAGGCCCAGACGCCUACGGGAGGCAGCAGGGGGGAAUAUUGCACAAGGGGCGCAAGCCUGAUGCAGCAACGCCGCGGGCGGGAUGACGGCCUUCGGGUUGUAAACCGCUUUCAGCAGGGAAGAAGGUUUUUGUGACGGUACCUGCAGAAGAAGCACCGGCUAACUACGUG
rnacentral:rRNA from 1 species